rnacentral:rRNA from 1 species
UACGUAGGGUGCGAGCGUUGUCCGGAAUUAUUGGGCGUAAAGGGCUCGCAGGCGGUUUGUCGCGUCGGGAGUGAAAACCAGGUGCUUAACACCUGGCUUGCUUUCGAUACGGGCAGACUAGAGGUAUGCAGGGGAGAACGGAAUUCCUGGUGUAGCGGUGAAAUGCGCAGAUAUCAGGAGGAACACCGGUGGCGAAGGCGGUUCUCUGGGCGUGACCUGACGCUGAGGAGCGAAAGUGUGGGGAGCGAACAGG